rnacentral:lncRNA from 1 species
AGCGCUCCACUCUGCAGUGUCUGGGAACCCACCUAGAGGGCCCCCUUGACGCCAGCACAUCCCCUGUCAGGCAGCAGUCUGCAGCCGAGCAGGGCUGCUGCAGAGUUAAUGUACAGUACCAGGGAGCCUGCAAGUGUCCUGAGCUCCUCAGAGCUGGGGCGGCACAGCGCAGGGCAGACAAGGCGGCUGCGACGAUUCCAAAGGUUCUGCUGGAAAUUCGGCGCUGGGGGACUCCAGCAGGAGCCUGUUGCCAUUGUGUUUUAAAAGCAUGGAAGGUCUGUAUAGCUUGGGCAUGAGAAUCUUUCAGAAGCUAUCAGAGCAUCAGAGUAAAUGACAUUUAUUGGGAAACUGAAUUUGGGGUAAAGAAAAAAACCGAAAGAGAGAGCAAAGAGAAGAGAAAGACAGUGGGGGAACAAAUUCUUAGACAACGUCUGACUUGCAGCUGUGAAAUUCAUUUUCUUUACAAGGCAAAAAUAUUAAAAGCCCACACAUGGUUUUAAUAACAGAUUAAAGGGAAUUUCUGCAGUGAAAGGAUCAAUAGCUUAGUCAUUUUACUUAAAGAGAGCAGACAGCCUUAUUAUGGGGUUAGGCAGCAGAAAUGAAUUUCAUCACGACAGCACCUUCUGAAGUCAUGAUGGUAGCUAGUGGUAAUCCUGUCCUACAAAGCAGAAAUUACUCUUUGCCUUCCUACUUUUGCAGUGGAGACCAGCAAUUCUGAGAUUUGAGGAAGAAGUUGGCUUUAAUUAUACAUGGUUUUUAGCCCCUCUGCCCAGGUCUUUGUCCUAUACGUCUUAGACAGUAGCACUGCGUUAAAGUGACCACACAUGAAUAUGUGCCUAAGAAAGAAGAAAAAGCAAUAUUCAUUUCUAAAGGACAGCAUGGCAAAGCAGCCUGAAGUUUUCCAUUUUCCUUCUAACACUUCUUUAACAAGGAUAACAAGAAACUGUCUUUUGACUCCUUUCUUCCCACAUUCCAUAGUCCUUCCUCCAAGGAUGCAUUAAUUUAUACUCAAGGCAGCUGGAUUUUACCAGGACAAUAUUUGCCAUCAUUUAGGAUUAGCAGUUGGACUGGUUAUUUUAAUGUAUUGACUUACUAGUGGAACCUAAAUGGAUGGACCCAUACCUGCAGUGCUCUGUGAUGUUUCUUUCUUCAAAUUCUGGAAGGGCUUUUGUUGUUGCUCUUUCUUUUUUGGGGGGGGGGAUUUUUUUUUGGAAAUCAAUACUUGUUGCAAUAAUUGCCCAUGAUAGCUGCUCAAACAAGAGAGUUGGAAUUCAUCUGUGAAAAUCACUACAUAUAACAAAGGAGACAAGGAAAAUAUUAAUGACAGAAGAUCUGCGAACAUGAUGCACGUGAAUAAUUUUCCCUUUAGAAGGCAUUCCUGGAUAUGGUAAGUAAUCAAUAUCCCCUUUAGUUUGUAAAACUCAGAAUUCUAAAAUUCCAUGACAGCUACCAGAUGAGAAUUUGUCUGGAACAAGAAUGCUGGUAUCAAGUGAGAAUGAGAAGUCAAACAUAUAAAAUACCAAAUGUGUCUGAGAAAGUAAUGGUUAUGCAAUAAAAAACUUACUUGUUAAUAUAAAGUAUUUCAAAUAAGAAAUCAAGUAUGAGGACAUUUACAAUUAUUAACACUUCAUGGUAAAGAAAAGAAAAAAGCUGUGAGAAUGGCAACCUAUUAACAGAAAAGGAGAGGAUUGGGAUUUGUUUUUAUCUGUUUUUCUUUGAAA